GGGUCAGUAGGUUGGUCGUGCCACCGGUACGUAGUGGUCUCACUGUUUCCUCCUUCCUGAAGAACCGUAAUGCCAUUAAUUUGGUGUUGCGGGGAAACAGGACUGUUACAUUGAAAAAAUUUGAGUGUUUAAAGCAAGCUAACGCUUGAAUACAUUAGCAUGGAAUAAUGAAAUAGGACGAUCGAUCCUAUUUUGUUGGUUUCUAGGAUUGACGUA
rnacentral:rRNA from 1 species